rnacentral:rRNA from 1 species
UACGUAGGGUGCAAGCGUUGUCCGGAAUUAUUGGCGUAAAGAGCUCGUAGGCGGUCUGUCGCGUCUGCUGUGAAAACUCAGGGCUUAACCCUGAGCUUGCAGUGGGUACGGGCAGACUAGAGUGCGGUAGGGGAGACUGGAAUUCCUGGUGUAGCGGUGAAAUGCGCAGAUAUCAGGAGGAACACCGGUGGCGAAGGCGGUCUGCUGGGGUGAGGCUGACG